rnacentral:rRNA from 1 species
GAUGAAUGCUGGCGGCGUGCCUAACACAUGCAAGUCGAGCGGUAACAGAUCUAGCUUGCUAGAUGCUGACGGGCGGCGGACGGCUGAGUAACGCGUGGGAACAUACCCCAAAGUGAGGGAUAACCGCCCGAAAGGGUGGCUAAUACCGCAUAUGGUCUUCGGAUUAAGGGAUUUAUCCGCUUUGGGAAUGGCCUGCGUACGAUUAGAUAGUUGGUGAGGUAAUGGCUUACCAAGUCUACGAUCGUUAACUGGUUUGAGAGGAUGAUCAGUCAGACUGGAACUGAGUCACGGUCCAGACUCCUACGGGAGGCAGCAGUGAGGAAUCUUCCACAAUGGGCGAAAGCCUGAUGGAGCAACGCCGCGUGCAGGAUGAAGGCCUUCGGGUUGUAAACUGCUUUUAUAAGUGAAGAAUAUGACGGUAACUUAUGAAUAAGCACCGGCUAACUACGUGCCAGCCGCCGCAGUAA